AUUAUAUAUUAUGAGCAUUGGAUGAUAUGUAUUGGUUUGGAUUAUAUUGUUCAUUGAAUCUAAAUCAUUCAAUGCUCGUAGCAUUUAAUGUUAUGUAGUACUGAGUGUUUAGACUCAUAUGAGUUCCUGCUCUAUUAGAAAGAUAAUACAAAUGUGAUAUGAAAUAUAUAUGAUAAGAAUAUCAUUUUUGCGUUUUUAAGGUCUUGUAGUAGUACCUUAUAAAGUAGUUAAUUUUUACACAUCUUGUAAUGUAUUUUUUUAACAAAUGAGUUCAAUUUUUUUUUGGUUAUGUUUAAGUCAUUUGCCACAUCAAAUGGCACCAACCUUGCAGUGGAUGUAUUGGUGUGGGGUAGGAAUGAAAUCCGCGGUCCAGAGUUUGUGAAUUAAGAGAUUCAGAUGUUUCAAGAGAGACAAAGAGAGAUCUGGAUCAUUUAAGUUUUUAGGUUUGUGAAGUGAGUCAGU
rnacentral:lncRNA from 1 species